rnacentral:lncRNA from 1 species
UAAUUACAAACUCGUUAAAAGAGAUGUACAUACCAUUAAUCAACAUUGGCCACAAAAUCAAACAAUCAAAUUCAUUUUGUUUAUUGAAGACACAACUCCUGGAACUUUCCAUCCUCUUGCUCUGAUCUGUACCAGAGGCUCUCAGCAUUCAUAAAAAUUUCCUCUUGACUAUCAUCUGAGGGUUCUCUUCAGCUCUCUCUCUUACACAUUGGAUUCCCCUCUUUCCUGUACCCCAGAGAUUCCUCUCCUGUACACCAGUAGCUUUGUGGAGAAAGGCACAUAGCAAGUAAGUUUUUUGAGAAUUUGCAUGGCAUAGAAUUCUUUAUUCCUGCUUUGCAUUUAAUUGAUAGUUUGUGUGAAUAAUUCUAGGUUUAAAUAUUAUUUCCUCAGAAUUUUGAACUCAUUUGUCUAUUGUCUUCUACCUUCCAGUGUUGCUGCCCAAAAGUCAGAUACCAUUCUCACUCCUGACCCCUUUUUUUUUUUUUUUUUUUUUGUCUUUUUAGGGCCAUACCUGUGGCAUAUGGAAGUUCUCAUGUUAGAGGUCAAAUCGGAGUUGUAGAUGCCGGCUACAGCCAAGCCACAGCAACAUGGGAUCUGAACCCCAUCUGCAACCUAUGCCGCAGCUCAUGGCUAUGCUGGAUCCUUAACUCACUGAGCAAGGCCAGUUAUCUGACCCACAUCCUCAUGGAGGAUACUGGUUGAGUUCAUUACCACUGAGGCACAACAGGAACUCCUCCUGACCCUUUUUUAUGAUGUUUUUUUCUCUUUGCAAGCACUUAGAAUCUUUUCUUUAUUCCUUGUGUUCUGAAAUUUUAAGAUGAUGUCUUUCCAUGUGAGUCUUUUAUUGAAUUGUUGUUCAUUUUGCUGUACUUUCAGAGGCAAUUUCCCAUCUUUAGACUUCACUUUGGAAGAGUUUUUUUUUCUUGAUGUUUUAUUUGUUCUUCAAAACAUGAAUGUAUUGGUGUAUGCCUUAUAGUCUUUGUCUUUUCUUUUUUUUUACUGAAAUAUAGUUAAUGUAAAUAUUAUAUCAUUUACAGGUGUAUAGUAUAGUGAUUCACAGUUCUUAAUAUUUGCUGUAUUUCCUGUAUUGUACAAAUAAUACAAUAUAGGAAAUGUAGUUGUAGUUUACUAUAUGCAGCAUAGUUUGUACUUCUUAAUCCCCUCCCCCAUAUUGCCCUUCCACCCUUUCCUUACCCUACUGGUCACAACUAGUCUGUUCUCUGUAUCUGUGAGUCUGUUUUUUGUUAAUAUUCACUAGUUUGUUGUAUUUUUUUAAAUUCCACAUAUAAGUAAUAUCAUACAGUAUUUGCCUUUUUAUGUCUGAUUUAUUUCACUUAGCAUAAUACCCUCCAAGUCCAUCCAUGUUGUUGCAAAUAGCAAAAUUUCAUUCUUUUUAUGGCUGAAUAGUAUUCCAUUGUAUAUUUACCAUUUCUUUAUCCAUUCAUCUGUUGAGGAACACUUAAGUCACUUCCAUACCUUGGCAAUUGUAAACAAUGCUGCUAUGAACAUUGGGGUGCAUGUAUCUUACUGAAUUAGUGUUUUCUCUUUUUUGUAUAUACAUAUAUAUCCAGAAAUGGAAUUUCUAGGUCAUAUGGUCAUUCCGUUUUUAGUUUUUUGAGAAACCUCCAUAUUAUUUUCUACAGUGGCUGCACAUUUUACAUUCCUACCAACUGUACAAGAGUUGCCUUUUCUCCAUAUCCUCACCAACAUUUGUUAUUUGGGUUUUUUUAAUUAUAGCCAUUCUGACAGGUGUGAGGUGAUAUAUCAUCAUCAUGAAAUCAUGCUCCCUGACUUCAGACUAUACUACAAGGCCACAAUUAUUAAAACAGUAUGGAAAUUGCCAUAUGAUAUCAUAUAUGGAAUCUAAAGAAUCCAUCUAUGAAACAUAAAGAGAUUCGCAGACAUAGAGAACAAAUUUGUGGUUGCCAAGGGGAAAUGGGGGAAGGAUGGUGUGGAAGGGUGGGGUUAGGAAAUGUAAGCUAUUAUACAUGAAGAAAAUAAUCAAUAAGAUCCUACUCUAUAGCAUAGAGAACUAUAUUCAGUGUCCUAUGAUAAACCAUAGUGGAAAAAAAUAUUUUUAAAAAGAGUGUAUGUAUAUGUAUAACCAAAUCACUUUUUUGUACAGAAGAAAUUAAAACAACACUGUAAAUCAACUAUACUUCAAUUUUAAAAGUUUUAUUAAUUAGGUUUAAAGAAUUUUAGGAGUUCCCAUUGUGGCAUAGCAGGUUAAGAACCUAGCAUAGUGUCCAUGAGGAUGCAGGCUCAAUCUUUGAUCUCACUCACUGUGUUAAGGUUCCAGCAUUGUUGCAAGCUGUGGCAUAGGUUUCAGAGGCAGCUUGGAUCCAGUGUUGCUGUGGCUGUGGCAUAGGCCUGCAGCUGAAGCUCUUAACUGGACCCCUAGCCUAGGAACUUCCAUAUGCUGCAAGUGCAGCCUUAAAAAAAAUUUUUUUAAAGUGUGGUACAGCACAAAAACAGACACAUCAAUCAAUGGAAUGGAAUAGAGUCCCCAGAAAUAAACCCACACAGUUAUGGUCAAUUAAUCUAUAGCAAAAUAGGCAAGAAUAUACAAAUGGAGAAAAGACAGCCUCUAAUAAGUGGUUCUGGGAAAACUGGACAACCACAUGUAAGAGAAUGAAACUAGAACAUUCCCUAACACCAUAUACAAAAAUAAACUCAAAAUGGAUUAAAGACCUAAAGUAAAGUGAGAAACCAUAAAACUCCUAGAAGAAAACAUCAAACAUUCUUUGGCAUAAAUCUUAGCAAUAUUUUUUGGAUUUUGUCCUAAAGCAAAGGGAAUGAAAGCAAAUGUAAACAAAUAAGGUCUAUUUAAACUUAAAAGCUUUUGUACAGUAAAGGGAACUAUAAACAGAAUGAAAAGACACCUACUGAAUGGGAGAAAAUAUUUGCAAAUGAUAUGACUGAUUAGGGGUUAAUAUCCAAAAUAUACAAUCAGCUCAUAAAACUGAACAUCACACACACAAAAAAUCCAAUUUAAAAAAUGGGCAAAAGACCUAAAUAGGCAUUUUUUCCAAAGAGGACAUGGAGAUGAUCAAGAAGCACAUGGAAAGAUACUCAAUAUCACUAAUCAUCAGGAAAAUGGAAAAACUUUCUUGUUCUCUUGCACUUUCUACCCUACCGUUUUCUCUGUUUUUUCCUUUUGAACUUAUAUGCUGGUCUCUUGGAUGGAACCUCUAAUUUUCUUUCAUUCAUCUCUUGUUAUAUAUUUCUUUGUCAUCCUAUUUUCUAGGAGAUUUCUUCACUUUUGUCUUCUUAGCCUUCAACUAAUGUUUUCCUGAUUUUUUUAUUGAAGUAUUAUCGAUUUACAAUGUUGUGUUAAUUUCUGCUAUACAGCAAAGUGAUUCAGUUAUACAUUAUAUACACUUGUAAUAUUCUUUUCCAUUGUGAUUUAUCAUAUCACAUUGAAUAUAGUUCUCUGUGCUAUACUGUAGGAUCUUAUUGGUUAUUUCCUCCAUAUAUUAUAGCUUAUAUCUAAUUUUUUCAAAUAGUCAUAUCACUAUUUUUUUGUAAUUUCCAAGAGUUCUUCCUUCUAUUCUCAUAGUUCUUUUUUAGUAUCCUGUUCUGGUUUUAUGAAUCUUGUCUAUCAAAGAUACCAAAAUUUGUUGUGUUCUUUUUUAAUAUUUGUUGACUCUUAAUUCUUUUUUAUCCUAUGAGCUCCUUAGUGUGUUAGAUGAGUUGUUUCAGUCUCUGUUGGAGGCUUUCCUCAAAUGUCUGGCAAUCUUUGUCUGUCUAUAGACAUUUAAAAAUGAAACAGUGAAAACCCCUUGCUGACCAAUCCACUUUUCUCUAGUGAUCCAGACUUUUCUUUAUAAAGCCCCCCAGAUAUCAGUAUCCAUAGAUCUUUUGUCAGGAGCUGGUCUCUGAUCAUUUCUCUGGAAUAAGUACACCUGGCAGCCAGCAUUACUGGAGCUUAGUAGCAAAGGAAGCUGAGAGGGGCUUCUCACUUGUCACUGUAAAAACUUUAUUCAGUUUUUCUCUUUUCAGUAUCUCAUCCCCGCCUUCCACUGUGCUUGGUAUGGCAAAGUCCACACCCUCUUUGGUUCAAAUUCUGUAUGGAUAAAUAAUAUAAUACCCUAUUAUAUACAUGUACACACACAAAUGAGAUUAUACAAUCCAUAUUAUUCUUUAUCUUGCUUCUUUAAAGAUUUGUCAUAAAUAGCAAUCUACGUCAGUACAUACAGCUUCACCUUCCCCUAAGCUUUAUCCUACCUUUACCUAAACUUCCCCUAACAAACCUUUUCCCAGAGGCAUCAUCCUCAAAUGACAAUUUGACCUAAAAAUCAAGUUACCUCCUUAAGAAAAAGAUUCCUAAUCAUUUCUUGUGUAAAAAUUGGUACCUGAUAUUCAACAGACUAGCCACAUACAGGAUUAUCUUAAAGCAGCAAUAGGAAUUAUCAAAAUUUGUCACUGUUGAUGUUAUUUAUAUCCUCAUUAAAUUUAUAUUUAUAUUCAUUCAUCCCUACCACCUUUCCACUACUCCCCAAAUUACUACACUCAGAACCCAAUAUCUCUUCACAGAAAUCCUGUUAGUGUCCCACCCCUAUUUUUAUCCAAAUAAAUGUUUCCAUAUGAAAUAACUAUUUAAAACUUUUAAAGAGGAAAAAGAGAGGGAGUGUAGAAUAUAUAAAUCUCUCUUAUCCUGUUGAUUAAAUACUUAGCUCUCUCCCCCAAAACAAAUAGAGAAAAAAAAAUCCAAAAAAUUUUUUAAAAUAUUUAAUUUUUGCAGUUUUUUUCCCUUGGGGGUUAUAUUGGUCAAGGUAUUUGGUUGCAAUCAACAGAACCCACUCUCACUAUGUUAAGCAGAAAAUUGAUAUAUUAAAGUAUAUUAGGUAACUUACAAAAUUGUUAGGAAGGCUAGAAAAACAAUAGAGGCUAGUGGGCUAAAGUUAAAUCAUGCCAGAGAAGUAGCCUAGGGAGGAAACUUAUCACCAUCCUGGAUGUCACUUCCUUGUCAGGAGUUUAUUUUUGCAACCACUGAUGUCUUCAAAAGCGGGACACUUCAGAGUUCCCAUCAUGGCUCAGUGGUUAACGAACCUGACUAGCAUCCAUGAGGAUGUCGGUUUGAUCCCUGGCCUUGCUCAGUGGGUUAAGGGUCCAGUGUUGCUGUCAGCUGUGGUGUAGGUCUCAGAUGCGGUUUGGAUCCCGCGUUGCUGUGGUCCUGGCAUAGGCCAGCAGCUAUAGCUUGGAUUGGCCUGGAAACCUCCAUAUG